AUGGUUAAGUUAGAAAGGGCGCACGGUGGAUGCCUUGGCACUAGGAGCCGAAGAAGGACGGGACUAACACCGAUAUGCUUUGGGGAGCUGUACGUAAGCGUUGAUCCAGAGAUUUCCGAAUGGGGGAACCCACUAUCUUUAGUCGGAUAGUAUCCUUACGUGAAUACAUAGCGUAAGGAAGGCAGACCCAGGGAACUGAAACAUCUAAGUACCUGGAGGAAGAGAAAGAAAAAUCGAUUUCCUGAGUAGCGGCGAGCGAAACGGAAAGAGCCCAAACCAAGAAGCUUGCUUCUUGGGGUUGUAGGACACUCUAUACGGAGUUACAAAGGAAUGUGGUAAACGAAGUGGUCUGGAAAGGCCCGCCAAAGAAGGUAACAGCCCUGUAAUUGAAAGCAUAUUCCCUCCAGAGUGGAUCCUGAGUACGGCGGAACACGUGAAAUUCCGUCGGAAUCCGGGAGGACCAUCUCCCAAGGCUAAAUACUCCCUAGUGACCGAUAGUGAACCAGUACCGUGAGGGAAAGGUGAAAAGCACCCCGGAAGGGGAGUGAAACAGUUCCUGAAACCGUGUGCCUACAAGUAGUUAGAGCCCGUUAAUGGGUGAUAGCGUGCCUUUUGUAGAAUGAACCGGCGAGUUACGAUUUGUUGCAAGGUUAAGCGGAAAAAGCGGAGCCGUAGCGAAAGCGAGUCUGAAUAGGGCGUAUGAGUAACAGGUCGUAGACCCGAAACCAGGUGAUCUACCCAUGUCCAGGAUGAAGGUGAGGUAAUACUCACUGGAGGUCCGAACCCACG
rnacentral:rRNA from 1 species